UACGUAGGGGGCAAGCGUUGUCCGGAGUUACUGGGCGUAAAGCGCACGCAGGCGGUCUCUUAAGUUUGGAGUGACAGUUGGUGGCUUAACUGCCAAAGUGCUUCGAAAACUGAGAGACUUGAGGGCUUCAGAGGGACACGGAAUUCCGGGUGGAGUGGUGAAAUGCGUAGAGAUCCGGAGGAACACCAAAGGCGAAGGCAGUGUCCUGGGGAGUACCUGACGCCCAGGUGCGAAAGCCAGGGGAGCGAACGGG
rnacentral:rRNA from 1 species